GUUAAAAAAAAGAUGGAUGCGAUGGAUCCGAUGGAUAAGUAUUUAGUUAUAGCUAAACACUUAUCCAUUGGAUCCAUCGGAUCCAUCUUUUUUUUUUUAUAAGUG
rnacentral:miRNA from 1 species